rnacentral:rRNA from 1 species
GAUGAACGCUGGCGGCGUGCCUAAUACAUGCAGGUCGAGCGAACAGACGAGGAGCUUGCUCCUCUGACGUUAGCGGCGGACGGGUGAGUAACACGUGGAUAACCUACCUAUAAGACUGGGAUAACUUCGGGAAACCGGAGCUAAUACCGGAUAAUAUAUUGAACCGCAUGGUUCAAUAGUGAAAGACGGUUUUGCUGUCACUUAUAGAUGGAUCCGCGCCGCAUUAGCUAGUUGGUAAGGUAACGGCUUACCAAGGCGACGAUGCGUAGCCGACCUGGGAGGGUGAUCGGCCAAAAUGAAACUGAGCCACGUCCCAAACUCCUAGGGAGGCAGCAGUAGGGAAUCUUCCGCAAUGGGCGAAAGCCUGACGGAGCAACGCCGCGUGAGUGAUGAAGGUCUUCGGAUCGUAAAACUCUGUUAUUAGGGAAGAACAAAUGUGUAAGUAACUAUGCACGUCUUGACGGUACCUAAUCAGAAAGCCACGGCUAACUACGUG